rnacentral:rRNA from 1 species
GACGAAGGUGGCGAGCGUUGUUCGGAAUCACUGGGCAUAAAGCGCACGUAGGCGGCGGCGUAAGUUGGCUGUGAAAUCCCCCGGCCCAACCGGGGAACUGCGUCCAGUACUGCGUUGCUUGAGGAUCCAAGGGGUGCAUGGAAUUCCCGGUGGAGCGGUGAAAUGCGUUGAUAUCGGGAGGAACUCCGGCGGCGAAAGCGGUGCACUGGUGGAUUACUGACGCUGAGGUGCGAAAGCCAGGGGAGCAAACGGG